CCAGUAAGCGUUAUGCCAGUGUACCAGAUAUAAAAUACUAACAUCCUUUUCUUUUUAUUUCUUUUUAUAGAAUCAGCUUAUUCUUAUUACAGUUUAAUCCUGAAGAAAGCUGGACAAUUUUUAGAUGAUUUACACAUCAGUCUUUUAAAGUUUGCUUUCUCUAUAAGGGCAUACUCUCCAACUAUUCAGAUGUUUCAACAGAUUGCUGCUGAUGAACCACCACCAGAUGGUUGUAAUGCAUUUGUGGUUAUCCAUGAAAAGCAUACCUGCAAAAUUAAUGAGAUUAAAAAGCUACUGAAGAAAGCGACUUCAAGGUAAAGUAAUAAUAGCCAGUAGUAAAAGAAGUGGCUUUGAAAGAAGAGAGAUUUGAAGAAGUUGAAAUUUUAAUAUUCUAGGACAUUAUCUAUUCAAGAAUUUAUAUUUGUAUUGAAAAACAGUAUAUCUGAGAAUGUUUUUGUCUUGAUGAGCUUUGAUUUGUGAAUUUUAAUUAUACCUAAAUACCAUAACAUGUAGAAGAUAUAUAUGUUUUACACAAAUUAUUUUGGAAGUAAACAUGCAAAAUUGUGCAUUUAUUUGGACUCUGUAUAUUUGUAUAAGGUGAAUACAUGGAGAAUAAAAAAG
rnacentral:lncRNA from 1 species